rnacentral:rRNA from 1 species
CCUCGAUGUCGGCUCAUCGCAUCCUGGGGCUGGAUAAGGUCCCAAGGGUCGGGCUGUUCGCCCGUUAAAGCGGUACGCGAGCUGGGUUCAGACCGUCGUGAGACAGGUCGGUCUCUAUCCGCUGUGGGCGUAAGGGAUUUGAGAGGAGCUGCCCCUAGUACGAGAGGACCGGGGUGGACAGACCUCUGGUGUGCCAGUUGUCGUGCCAACGGCAUUGCUGGGUAGCCAUCGUCUGGCAGAGAUAACCGCUGAAAGCAUCUAAGUGGGAAACUCGCCUCAAGAUAAGAUCCCUCAUCCCAUUAAGGGAGUAAGAUCACAGGUAGACUACCUGUUUGAUAGGCGGCGUGUGUAAGCACAGUAAUGUGUUAAGCUAAGCCGUACUAAUGAUCGAGGGCUUCAUUGC